rnacentral:rRNA from 1 species
CCCUUAGAUGUUCUAAGCCGCACGCGCGCUACACUGACGAAUGCAACGAGCUUAUAACCUUGGCCGAAAGGUCUGGGUAAUCUCCAAAUUUCGUCGUGAUGGGGAUAGAUUAUUGCAAUUAUUAAUCUUCAACGAGGAAUGCCUAGUAAGCGCAAGUCAUCAGCUUGCGUUGAUUACGUCCCUGCCCUUUGUACACACCGCCCGUCGCUCCUACCGAUUGAAUGGUCCGGUGAAGCGUUCGGACCGUGGCCUUUGGACGGUUCGCCGUCUGUUGGCUGCGGGAAGUUCGUUAAACCUUAUCAUUUAGAGGAAGGAGAAGUCGUAACA